CAAUAGCGUAUAUUAAAGUUGUUGUGGUUAAAAGCUCGUAGUUGGAUCUCGGCGGACUGAGGGCGGUUUGCUUGCUAGUAUUACUGCCCUAUAGUCCGUAGUUUUGCCAGAGGUUUCGAGGUGCUCUUAAUCGAGUGUCCCGGGAUGCUGGCAGGUUUACUUUGAAAAAUUAGAGUGCAUCAAAGCAGGCUAUUACGCCUGAAUAUUCGUGCAUGGAAUAAUAGAAUAGGAAGUCGUUUCUAUUUUGUUGGUUUUCGGAAAUCGACUUAAUGAUUAAUAGGGAUCAGUCGGGGCAUUUGUAUUCAAACGACAGAGGUGAAAUUCGUUGG
rnacentral:rRNA from 1 species